rnacentral:rRNA from 1 species
CCAGGCUCCUACGGGAGGCAGCAGUGAGGAAUAUUGGGCAAUGGAGGCAACUCUGACCCAGCCAUGCCGCGUGAGUGAAGAAGGUUUUCGGAUUGUAAAGCUCUUUCGGAUGUGACGAUGAUGACGGUAGCAUCUAAAGAAGCCCCGGCUAACUUCGUGCCAGCAGCCGCGGUAAUACGGAGGGUGCAAGCGUUACUCGGAAUCACUGGGCGUAAAGAGUGCGUAGGCGGGGUAAUAAGUCAGAUGUGAAAUCCUGUAGCUUAACUACAGAACUGCAUUUGAAACUGUUACUCUGGAGUGUGGGAGAGGUAGGUGGAAUUCUUGGUGUAGGGGUAAAAUCCGUAGAGAUCAAGAGGAAUACUCAUUGCGAAGGCGACCUGCUGGAACAUUACUGACGCUGAUGCACGAAAGCGUGGGGAGCAAACAGGAUUAGAUACCCGCGUAUG